AGGGGUAUGUGAUGGGCAGCCAUGGGCAGUGACUCCUGGACCUUGAUGGAAUGCAAUGCCUAAGGAAGGGCCUGAUGUGGUGGUGGCAGAGAGCUACCUGUUGGGCCUUUGGACCAUGGAAAGUUGCAGUGAGGGGCUACGGAAAAGUGGUAUAUGGUGGUGGGGUGGACCCUUGUGUCUGGAGCCGAAGCACUCAGGCUCAAAUCCCAGCUCUUCUAUUCAACAGCUUUUCUGCCUUCAGCAGUUACUUGACCUCCUUGGGCCUCAGUUUCUCUGCCUGUUUUAUCAAAUAGUGGGCAAGAUUUCAGUUGGUUCAAAUGUGAGGUUCUUAGAGGUGUCUGGUACAAAGUGCCACACACAUGAAAGGGAAAAAAGAGCCAGGUGAGAGGUCCUUCUCCAGUUUUCUUGGGCUCCAUGUCUCUGAAGGCUGGCACAGUCUGCAAGAACAAGAGGCUCCAACGUGUGCAGGAUUUCCAGCCAAACUAAGGGAAAUGGUUGAGGUCUGGGCUGGGAAAAAAGAAAACAAAUGUUGAUGGAACAUUCUAUGCACCCAAGUUCUCAGACCACUGCCCUUUCAAAUCACUGGCACGACGCCCAUUGGCGAUUCCAUUCUGGGAAAAGCAGUGCUGGUGGGAACCCUGAAUCAAAGACAAAGAUGACUGAUUUUAAGGACAUUCAGACACAUGGAGCCACGUGGGUCACAGAGUCCUCAAGGCCCUGAAACUGUUCCUUUUGGGACUCCGGGUAAGGAUCUCAGUACCGGAACUCAGGUUUGGAGGGCUGGCCUGGGAACCCCGCUAACUAUCAUUGGGAAUAGCCUUUCAGGGAAAGCCAGUCCCCACAUUUCAAACGCUCUGCCGCAAAGUAGUGCGAUCCAGCUGCAGGUUCAAGGAGGAAAGCCGAUUGUCCUUCACUACAUAUCUGGGGAGUUCCCCAAGACAAAGCAAGAUCCUGUCCCCUCCCGGAGCCCAGCCGUUCCCCAAAGGAAGAAACGCAAAGAAACAAUCUCGUUUGAUGAAGAACCGGCCCAGGGAAGGGCGCUCGGGGAUCGCCAGCCUGGCCAGACGCGGGUCUCCGGCAGGGGCCGCUGCAGCCGCAGCAGGUGGCCCGAGCCGCUCCGCCCCCGGCUUCCUCGUCCCGCCCCCGCGCCGGGGCCGCCGCCGCCGCUGCUGCUGCAGUUCCGACCUCCUGCAGGUGAGUCCACCCUGGGGCCGGGCCGGGCCCUCCGCGGCCUUCCUGGGCUCCAGCCCGGGGGUCCCAGCCGAGGAGGCGCUCUCGCCGGGCCGAGCGCACCCGCGGCCUGGGAACACGACGCGGACGCGGUCGGGCACGGAGGCGGGGCCAGCACGGCCGCGCCCAUCUCAAAAAAUUAG
rnacentral:lncRNA from 9 species